rnacentral:RNase_P_RNA from 1 species
CAAGCAAAACGUUCUGCCGCUCUGUUUUUUACGGGGAGGAAAGUCCGGGCAGCACAGGGCACCCUGCUUCCUAACGGGAAGGCGCCAUCCGGAUGGGCGACAGCAAGUGCCACAGAAAAUAAACCGCCCAAAGCAGUUUGGGUAAGGGUGAAAACGUGCGGUAAGAGCGCACGGCCUGGCAUGGCAACAUGCCUUGCGGUAAACCUCAGGGGCUGAAAGGCCAAAUAAGUUCUGGUA